rnacentral:rRNA from 1 species
GACGAACGCUGGCGGCGUGCUUAACACAUGCAAGUCGAACGGAAAGGCCCCUUUGGGGGUACUCGAGUGGCGAACGGGUGAGUAACACGUGAGUAACCUGCCCUUGACUUCGGGAUAACUUCAGGAAACUGGGGCUAAUACCGGAUAGGAAUCCUUGCUGCAUGGUGGGGGUUGGAAAGCUUCGGCGGUUUUGGAUGGACUCGCGGCUUAUCAGCUUGUUGGUGGGGUAGUGGCUUACCAAGGCUUUGACGGGUAGCCGGCCUGAGAGGGCGACCGGCCACAUUGGGACUGAGGGGCGGCCCAGACUCCUACGGGAGGCAGCAGUGGGGAAUAUUGCACAAUGGGCGGAAGCCUGAUGCAGCAACGCCGCGUGCGGGAUGACGGCCUUCGGGUUGUAAACCGCUUUCAGCAGGGGCGAAGCUUGUGGUGACGGUACCUGCAGAAGAAGCACCGGCUAACUACGUG